AACCUUAAUCUAAUAUUUCAUGCCCAAACCCUAUUUCCCCAAUUUCCUCUUUCUCUCUCACUCUCUCUGCUCGACCGAUAACCCUUCUCUCUGCUCGACCGAUCCCUAUUUUCUCAAAUUUUUGAAGGAAGCCUAUCAACAACUUUUUAAGGAAUGGCAUCAAAGUCAACCCGAUUCCGAGGAUGGUAGCUCAACCCAAGUAUCACUCAAUGAUGUAGCUAUAAUAUGGUCGCAGGUAGUUGUGGCGCAAAUAAAGGUAGAACCUACGGUCUUGGAUCACAAUAUUCCGUAGGUCGUUUUAUGACAUUGUUGUCUGGUGAUGCGAGUCAUUCGCAAGAUCACGAAGAGGUGGAAGCACUACGAAAAGAAGUUGAAUAGUUGGAGGAACGAAAAGAAGAUCUCUAGUGAAGAAAUUUAUGAGCGGACGUCCAUUUGGUCCUUUGAAUGGCGAGGAUGGUGGGGAUAAUGAGUUUUAGUUUGUUAUGGUUAUGAUGUUUGAGACAUUAUUAUUUGUUGUAGUUGGAUGUUUAGACUUGGUAAUAUUUACACCUAUGAUUGUAAUGUUUUAGACUAGAUUGAAUGGUGCUAGAAUGUUUAGUUCUUUUUGGAUCUUUUAGUUACCAAUAUUUAUGUUUUGCAUUUUAUGGAUUUGAUUAGUUGGAAUGGUGGAUUUAUUGGUUA